UCGGCUCCAUCCUCUCUGUCCUUCCGGAUUGCUAGGCCCGGCGGGCGGCUGGAGCGCUUGACAGGGAGGCGGCACCGGCGAGGGGGCUCUGGGGCGAGGCUUUGACAUUUGGAGUGCAAGAACAUGUCUCAAUCAGGUGAAAAAGUCAAGUUUUCGGACUCUGCUGGGUAUGUAGGCUUUGCCAAUCUCCCCAAUCAAGUCCACAGGAAGUCUGUCAAGAAAGGCUUUGAGUUCACCCUAAUGGUUGUUGGUGAAUCUGGCUUGGGAAAAUCCACUUUAAUUAACAGCUUAUUCCUAACUGAUCUCUAUCCUGAACGGUACAUUCCUGGAGCUGCAGAAAAAAUAGAGAGAACAGUCCAGAUUGAAGCUUCCACCGUAGAGAUAGAGGAACGAGGGGUGAAGCUUCGUCUCACCGUAGUAGAUACUCCAGGAUAUGGGGAUGCUAUUAAUAGCCAAGACUGUUUCAAAACAAUCAUCCAUUACAUUGACAACCAGUUCGAGAGAUACCUGCACGAUGAGAGCGGCCUCAACCGGCGCCACAUUGUGGACAACAGAGUUCAUUGCUGCUUUUAUUUCAUAUCUCCCUUCGGACAUGGGCUGAAGCCUUUGGACGUAGAAUUCAUGAAAGCCCUUCAUGGAAAAGUCAACAUUGUCCCUGUGAUUGCCAAAGCUGACACUUUGACGCUGAAGGAGAGAGAGAGGCUGAAGAGACGGGUUUUAGAUGAGAUUUCUGAGCAUGGCAUAAGGAUUUACCAGUUACCUGAUGCUGAUUCUGAUGAGGAUGAAGAAUUCAAGGAACAGACCAGGGUUCUGAAGGCAAGCAUUCCUUUCGCUGUGAUUGGAUCCAACCAGCUGAUUGAAGUGAAAGGAAAAAAGAUCAGAGGUCGCCUGUACCCCUGGGGAGUGGUGGAAGUUGAGAAUCCAGAGCACAACGACUUCCUAAAGCUGCGUACCAUGCUGGUGACACACAUGCAGGACCUUCAAGAAGUAACCCAGGAUUUGCACUAUGAAAACUUCCGGUCAGAAAGAUUGAAGCAUAGCGGCAAGCCAGUUGAAGAAGAAGUUGUGGACAAGGAUAGGAUCCUUCAGCAGAAAGAGGCGGAGUUGCGUCGCAUGCAGGAGAUGAUCGCGCAGAUGCAAGCCCAGAUGAGGAUGAAACCGGGUGACGAAUGAGGGAAUAGCCAAGCCGCUGACAGUAGGUAACCUAACAACUGAGACGUCUGUUCAAAAUGAUGUCUGUAAAAUUGUGACUUUCAUAGGACUCGGAUUUCCUCGCGAGCUUUGAAAGAAGACGGAAAGUGUUUUUCAUAUGAUCAGUGGAGGGCCAGCUGUACCGUAAGGCAUAGCAGUUCCUUGGAGCUUGUAAAAAUGGCUCAGUACUUUAUUUGAACCCGAACCAUGACACUAGUGAAUACGAAUGGGAUCACGCAUGGAUGUACUACAAGAUGGAGCCUAAAGUCUUGAAGACAUAUUGGAAAAUAGCCUCUUCCUUUCUCUCCUUCAACAUAUACCUCUCCUUAAUCAUGUUGCUGAUCCCCCUUGCUUCACCCUACACACUCAAACGUAAAUGUGGGACCCAUUCUCCUUACCUAAUGUACGCUUUCUCUCUCAUUGUUUUUAUGCAAAAACUUAAUAUGCCGUUCUUUAUGUAGUGGGCUUUGAAAGUAUUUUGACGAACCAUGUUUUUUCAGCUGGGAUAAUUCUUUAUACUUUUGUACCUUUCUUACAUACUAAAAGACUUGGUGAAUCGUUUACCAUAAAUGUGUAUCAUUUGGACCUAUUUGAGCUAUAGUUUGUUUAGACCUAGCUGGAAACAUUGCGUAGCUUGUGGCAGUCUUCUCUCACAGUUUGUUUUUCAACGCGUUUGUCUCUGCUUUGGCUCUCUGGGGUACAAUUUUCUCUGGUGCUUUUAAAAAAGAACAAUUAACGGUACGGUAUACUAAUGCUAUAUCAUGUUAGUGAUGGGAGAGGACCGGGCAUCCUUUUACCCACAAUGCCUUAAAUCAUGGAAAUAGUCUUACAUGCCAAAUAUCCUUAGAAGCCUCUAAAAAGAUCCAUCUUGAAUUUUCAGAGAUUAAAUUAGCGGCAGUUUCUGUUGGAGCUGUUUUUUUCCCCGUUGGUUGAGAGAACAGUGAUACAUACUCAAAGUGUUUUAUAAUGUAUCAUGACACUAAUUUUCCUUAGUUUUGUAAUAAAUGGGAUAGACAUGAUUGAAAUA